CCUACGGGUGGCAGCAGUGGGGGAUAUUGCACAAUGGGGGGAACCCUGAUGCAGCGACGCCGCGUGGGUGAAGGAGUGCUUCGGCAUGUAAAGCCCUAUCGGCAGGGAAGAAGCAAGACGGUACCUGACUAAGAAGCCCCGGCUAACUACGUGCCAGCAGCCGCGGUAAUACGUAGGGGGCGAGCGUUAUCCGGAUUCACUGGGUGUAAAGGGAGCGUAGACGGCCAUGCAAGCCAGGGGUGAAAGCCCGGGGCCCAACCCCGGGACUGCCCUUGGAACUGCAUGGCUGGAGUGCGGGAGGGGCAGGCGGAAUUCCUGGUGUAGCGGUGAAAUGCGUAGAUAUCAGGAGGAACACCGGCGGCGAAGGCAGCAUACCGGUGCACAACUGACGCUCAGGCACGAAAGCGUGGGUAUCGAACAGGAUUAGAUACCCUAGUAGUC
rnacentral:rRNA from 1 species